UACGUAGGGUGCGAGCGUUGUCCGGAAUUAUUGGGCGUAAAGAGCUUGUAGGCGGUUUGUCACGUCGGCUGUGAAAACCCGAGGCUCAACCUCGGGCCUGCAGUCGAUACGGGCAAACUAGAGUACUGCAGGGGAGACUGGAAUUCCUGGUGUAGCGGUGAAAUGCGCAGAUAUCAGGAGGAACACCGGUGGCGAAGGCGGGUCUCUGGGCAGUAACUGACACUGAGAGACGAAAGCUAGGGGAGCGAAUGGG
rnacentral:rRNA from 1 species